rnacentral:rRNA from 1 species
AUGGCAGCUAGGACGUCGCUGCUGCUUCUACUCGCGCUGGCCGCGGUGGUGGCUCACGUCGACGGUGCGACCGUGGCCGCGCCGGCGCCGGCCGUGGACUGCAGCGACGCCCUGAUCAGCCUGGCGGGGUGCCUGAGCUACGUGCAGGAGGGGAGCACGGUGGCGAUGCCGGAGGCGACCUGCUGCUCCGGGCUCAAGGACGUGGUGAAGAAGGAGGUGGCCUGCCUCUGCCAGGCCUUCCAGGGCGGCCAGGACUAUGGCGUCACCCUCAACAUGACCAAGGCCCUGCAGCUGCCCGGCGCCUGCAAGGUCAAGACGCCUCCCUUCAGCAAGUGCCACAUUUCCAUUCCGGGCGUGACCGGUGGGUCUCCAGCACCUGCACCUGCCCCGUCUUCCGGUGCUCCGUUCUUCGGGGGCUCGCCGUCACCAUCCACGCCUUCGGCUGAAUCACCAGCCGCAGCCGGAACCGGAAGCGGCGACUCCACCACCGCUCGAGCUCCAUCGCCGUCGGCCUCCGCCGUGGCCACCUUCCCGUCUUCAGCAGACGUCCUCCUAGCCGCAGCGACUGUCGUUGUGAUGACCCUGCUCGUGUGA